rfam:Holdemania filiformis DSM 12042 genomic scaffold Scfld10, whole genome shotgun sequence.
ACAAUGAUACUCCCUUGCCGUCGUAGUCCGAGCGUUUGAAGCGUCGCAGGCAACGAGCAGGGCCGCGUGAGAACCACGCGGGGGUGAGAUUCCCGUGG